rnacentral:lncRNA from 1 species
AGAAACAGGCAGGUGGUCGUCGACGCCUCCGGCAAGCCUGUGAUUUCGAUGCAGCAGAAGGUCCACAUCCUCAUCUCUGCUUCGCUUCCUUCUUUCUGCAAAGUCCAAGACGUUGACUCUGGUCGUUCUGUCAUGCAGCUGAGCAGCAUCCAUGACCGGUGGCAAGUCUUCAAGGGAAAUAGCUCAGAUCCUAAGCAUAUGCUGUUUAGCGUCAAGAGGAGUUCUGCACUCCAAUUCAAGACCGAGUUGGACGUGUUCUUAGCUGCCAACACCGAGGAGGAGGUGUGUGACUUCCUUCUCGUGUCUCCCACACAUCCAACUUCUCGUGUCUCCCACACAUCCAACUUUGGCUGUUCCGUCAUGCAGCUGCGUAGCGUCAAUGACCGGUGGCAGGUCUUCAAGGGAGAUAGCUCUGAUCCUAAAUAUCUGCUGUUUAGCGUCAAGAGGAGUUCUUCUCCCCAAGUCAAGACCGUGUUGGAUGUGUUCUUAGCUGCCAACAUCAAGGAAGAAAUCGUAAGAUGAUAAUAGAGACACUUCAACAACUAAAUUCUCAGAACUUAUAUAUAUAUUAUUCAAUAAAAUAUUAUUCUCUGAUUAUAAAAAGAUAAAUUCAAUACUUUGACUCGAUAGUAACUCCUCUCUUGAUUAAGACUUUUAAACUAAGAUCCUAUCUAAUCGCAAAGCUUGAUUUAAUAUUUGAAUAUAUUCUCUUAGAUUAAAGUUUGUAAAAAAUUUUAUGAAAAGCCUUAAAACUUGAUGCAAUCUUAUGUUGUUGCUAUGCGUAAUGGUUUUUAGAAUAUCUAAAUUCUUAACCAUGUAUUCCAUAAUAGUUUUUGAUGUGCUCGAUUUAUUCUAUCUUACCUGUUCUAAUCAAUUGUAAAACUUUGAUUUGUUUGGAAUCUUAGCUUUCUUGAACCAAUCCCUAGAUAUAAAAUCAAACAUAAAUAUCAGACUUUUUUCGUUAUAGAAUAUUUAUCAGAUUUUAUAAUUUUUUUUAUUUUGAUCAACAACUUAUUUUGAUAGGUUAACGAUCAACUUUCUAAAAUUUUCUUUUUCUAUAGAGAGGUAAAAUAUAUUUAUGUUUUUGAUGGAAAUUAAAUUAUCUAAUCCAACAUAAUCAUCUACUUCAAUAAAAUUAAUAUUAUGCAUAUGGUAGAUUGUAUUUUGUACAAUCUAAACGUCUUGUAUCUUAGUAAGAAUGUAAUUGAAAAAUCUAUCAUAUACGAUGAGUUAUCUUCAUUAAAAUUUUCUAUUAAGAUAUUUUCAUUUUCUUCUACUUAUAUAUCAUGUAUUUUUUUUUUUUACUUCAAACAAUAUAGAAGGAUAUAUACCUCUUUUAUAAAUAUCUUUUAAAAUUAAUGAGACUUCUGUCUUAAUUCUAUAGAUUCUUAAAAUAAGAUUUUCAUCUAGUAUUAAACGUGAGAUCAGCUUUAGUACUCUUUUAUCAUCUAUUAUUUUUCGGAGAGUAAUACACAAUCUAUAUCAUUUAUCAUAUUUUUACAAAAAGUAAUAAAAAAUUUAUAUAAUUUAUUAUAGUUUUAAAUAAUCGAAGAUAAUUUUUUUUAAACUUUCUGAGACGAGAAAAUAAUAAUGAGAUCUAAAAUAACAUAUAAAAGUCAUUAUCCAUACCUUCAAUCUUUUCUUUUGUAUGCGAAUUAAUUUUUCUAUUGACUGUCUUUAUCCUAUUAUAAUCUAAUUUAUCGAUUGCGUUUUUUAUUAUCUCCUCCUAUUUUAUAAUUGUCAGAUCUACUUCUCGGCUACAUUGUUAUUGAUUCUUAACUAUAUUAUCUUAAGAUCUAAUUUCUCUUUCUAAUAAUUUAUUUGUUUUUUUCUAGAAUUUUCUAUCUCCUUAGACUUUCUAUAUCUAUUAUUUCUCUCUCUUAUGAUUUUCUCUAUACAACUAUUUAUCUCUCUAAUAUAUUUAUUUUCUCCCCGUAACAAAUCUAGUUCUCUCUCUAAUGAGACCUUAUUUAAGGCUCUAAUUGUUGAAUCUCAGAUUUUGAUAAUAAAAUCAAUUGGUAGAGUUUAUAAUCUAAUUUAUGUUUUGAGUAACGCAAAACUAGCUUAGAUAACGAAGAGACAAUUAAGAAUUAAUUUUGAGCCACAGUGGAACAUGCCAAAAGAUUAGACGUUAAACCGGAGGAUCAGUCAAUGUGUCGAUAGAAGGCUUCGUGCCAUGAGUUCUGGUAUCAGACCUAGAAGAGCGGAAAUUGGGCCAAAGAGAUCGAAGUUGCAGAGGUCAACAUAUCGAUUGAUCAAAAAGCCACGAAAGAGGACGAUGUGCCAAAGGAUUAGACAAAGCGCCGAUGAACCAAUGACAUGUCGGACAACAUGUGAUUAAUGCUUUGUAAUAAUUGUCUAGAUCGAAGUAAUUUUAAGUUGUAAUUGGGUUGGAAUUAGGCCAACUCAAUUAGGGGCCCAUUGGGCUUAAGUUAGAAUUAAAUUGGGCUUGAUGGAUGGCUCACUCGGCCACUUAGAGUCAUGCUAAGCGGUGGCACCGCCCACGUUGGGUAGUGGAACUGCUUGAGGCUCAACCUCCCAGCGGUACUGUCGGUAGUUAAUGUUGCAAAGCAAUGGUACCACUAGAGGCUAGUCUCGAAAGCUCUGUCAUGUGGUGGUUCCGCCUAGUAUCUACUAGGCGGUGGGUAUCAUGAAGACCUAGGAUGAGACUAGUUUUGGCUCCAAGUUUGAAUCCAUUUGGGACCUAUAAAUACCUCUCUCAUCCUUGCUCAGAAUACUCAACUCAAGAAUUGAGAACAAAAACAAGGAAAAACUCUAUUGUAAUAUUGUGAGAGUUCUCCUUCUCUAGUCUAAGUGUUGAUUUCUAUUUAAGAGAGGAGUGAAUGAGGGUGUAAAGGUUUUCUAUUGAGCUUGUAAAAAGGAGAAUAGAGUUGUCAAAAGGAGAAUAGAGCUUGUCAUCCCCCAUCGAAGGAAGACCAUUAGUGGAUGCCGGUAGCCUUGACGGAAAAGAAAUCGGUAGUGGAUGUAGGUCACGACGACCGAACCACUAUAAAUUGGUGUGCUUUCUUUCUUCGCUGCCAUUUACUUAGUUUGCAAUUGCUUUACUUCCUCUUAUGAACGUUUUUAAAGUUAAACACUUUUUAAUAUGGUUUUAUCGUACGAAGUUUCGAAUUAUCGACGUAAUUUUAUGUACGCACUAAUUCACCCACUCUCUUAGUGCCAACUCGAUCAUAACACUAAUGCCUUAUUGAAAAAUCUCUUCAUGAGAUGAUUGGCAUCAAUAAAUCAUAUGGUAUAAUAGAAAAAAAAAAUAAAAAUAUUUUAAAAAUUAAAAACUCAUAUUAAACAUGUUAACUUAUAAUCUCUCGAACCUUGAAUAUAAUCAAGACACUUCUACCUCAUCACUUCUCUCAUUGUUGUUAAAUCAUUAUAUGAACCCUUUGUUAAUAGAAGGAUAAUUCAAAACUAUGAUAUGUACUUCGUAAGGCUUGAAGGUUCAUGAAAGACUUGGGUUGCAGUUCUUUUCAUCUUCCUCCUUUUGGGUUGUUGUGGAUUGGCCACAAAUUGCGAUGUCAGAACAAACAUGGUUGUAGUUCUUUUAUCCUCCCUCUGCAGUAUUAAAGGCUAAGCAAUGGACUCUCUGACAUGCACUGUCGACAUUACCAAUCAUUAUUAUGUAAAGCAGGAGGUAGGUAAAAGUCGUCCAAGGAUCCAUCAAACAUUAUUUUCUUACAACAUAAGACUUGCACCGUUGACGACACUAUCUGCUGAAUGCCACAAGCAAUUUGCCAUACAGCUGCAUGACAUGGUUCUUGCAAACAAGCAUGACAAGAUUCCCACGUACUUGAGUUUACAGAACCAGACCACAGGACAUAAACCAUCCCGACCUCGAGAAGGGAUGCAGGAGGCACACGGAGGGCCACAUCAGGCCAGGUGGUGGUGGUGGUGGCGGUGGUGGUGCAGCAGGGGGGAGGUGCCAACACGAUGCUCCAGUUCCACACCGACGAUGCUACGGGGGCCAAGAUGUCUCUCCCAAUACUCUUCUCUUUAUGAGCAUCGGAUUCAUUGCUGUUGUUGCUCUUCUGCAUUGUCGUCGGUAAACUCUAUUUUGUUCCUCACUAGACCUCUAUUUUGAUAUCCUUAAAGGUGCACGCACUCUUGAUUUGAGCAAAACAUAGACUGGUAGGCAAUGUGACAAAUUUAUUAUCAGAAUCUGCAGCAUUUUCGUUCUAUAAUUGACAUUACAUGCAGCAUACUUAUUAUUUUCAAGUCAGUCCAACCUUCUGUUAGUGUUGAAUUUGUUUGUGCUUGUCAUCAGAAUGUUGAAUAUUAUUGUGAAUGAAGUAAGCCAUUGAAUUGUGAUGAGGGCGACGAGGGGGAACUAUGAAUUGUUUUUUAUAGUAAGUGAUAGAAGAUAAGAUUUUCCCAACUUGAUAGAAGAUAAGAUUUUCCCAACUUGAUAGAAGAUAAGAUUUCCUCAAUUAUAUGAGGAAAUCCUUCCUCCUAUCUGUAAGAGAGAACAUGUUAAUAUAUUCAAGCUAAAGUAAGCGAAGCUUCGCUCUUGUCUUUGGCCAGCGACCAACGCCGUUGAGAAAAGUGAAGCUUCGCCAACAAUCACUCACGAAGCCUCUCGCUUUAAACCAUGCAUCAAUCCAAGAUUAGAUUUGUAUCCUUGUCAAACUUGAUAGAAGAUAAGAUUUCUUCAUUUUUACAAUAAAGCUUCUUCAAUUAUUGUUAUUAUCUUCUAUUGACCGAGAAACACGGUUUGACCAUGGAUCCACUCGCCCACCGAAAGAUAAUUCCACUUGCAACCACAUAUGUCGAUUCAUUUGUACGCCAACAACACAACGACUGAAACGAGAGUGAGAGAGAGAGAGAGAGAUGGGUUUAUUAAUUUCUAAGUUUGCUGCCCCGUCCGGCGCCAUCGUCGACCCGCGGUUCUGCGCGUCGUACCCGAUCGACCUCACGUUCUUCAUCGACGCCGCCUGGUUGAACUGUGACCACCUCGCGGUGACCGACAUCAACGGCAACGUCGUCUUCAAGGUCGAAGCCCAUAAGUGGAGCCUCAGAAACAGGCAGGUGGUCGUCGACGCCUCCGGCAAGCCUGUGAUUUCGAUGCAGCAGAAGGUCCACCUCCUCAUCUCUGCUUCGCCUCCUUCUUUCUGCAAAGUCCAAGACGUUGACUCUGGUUGUUCUGUCAUGCAGCUGAGCAGCAUCCAUGACCGGUGGCUAGUCUUCAAGGGAAAUAGCUCAGAUCCUAAGCAU